AUACGUAGGGGGCAAGCGUUAUCCGGAAUUACUGGGCGUAAAGGGUGCGUAGGUGGCCUGACAAGUCAGGGGUCAAAGGCAACGGCUCAACCGUUGUAAGCCCUUGAAACUGUCGGGCUUGAGUUCAGGAGAGGAAAGCGGAAUUCCUAGUGUAGCGGUGAAAUGCGUAGAUAUUAGGAGGAACACCAGUGGCGAAGGCGGCUUUCUGGACUGAUACUGACACUGAGGCACGAAAGCGUGGGGAGCAAACAGGAUUAGAUACCCUGGUAGUCCACGCCGUAAACGAUGAGUACUAGGUGUCGGCCCUAAGGGGCGGUGCCGCAGUUAACACAUUAAGUACUCCGCCUGGGAAGUACGCUCGCAAGAGUGAAACUCAAAUGAAUUGACGGGG
rnacentral:rRNA from 1 species